rnacentral:snRNA from 1 species
GUGCUCACUUCAGCAGCACAUAUACUAAAACUGGAAUGAUACAGAGAAGAUUAGUAUGGCCCCUGUGCAAGGAUGACACACAAAUUCGUGAAGCGUUCCAUAUUUUU